rnacentral:hammerhead_ribozyme from 1 species
AUCCAGUUGACGAGUCCGGGAUGGGACGAAAUGAGCAUCCUGGAU